UUUUAAUGAGAGUUUGAUCCUGGCUCAGGACGAACGCUGGCGGCGUGCCUAAUACAUGCAAGUAGAACGCUGAUGUUUGGUGUUUACACUAGACUGAUGAGUUGCGAACGGGUGAGUAACGCGUAGGUAAC
rnacentral:rRNA from 1 species